rnacentral:tRNA from 1 species
GCUCUUGUGGCUCAGUGGUAGAGCAUCAGCCUGCACACCAAAACGUUGUGGGUUCGAUUCCAGUCAAGAGCA